CACGUAGGGGCGAGCGUUGUCCGGAUUUAUUGGGCGUAAAGAGCUCGUAGGCGGCUCAGUAAGUCAGGUGUGAAACUCCAGGCUCAACCUGGAGACGCCACCUGAUACUGCUGUGGCUAGAGUCCGGUAGGGAGACGUGGAAUUCCUGGUGUAGCGGUGAAAUGCGCAGAUAUCAGGAGGAACACCGGUGGCGAAGGCGGGUCUCUGGGCCGUAACUGACGCUGGAGGAAGCGAAAGCGUUGGGAGCGAACAGG
rnacentral:rRNA from 1 species